UUUACAUUUACUAACAUAUUUUACCCUCGGGGUCAAUUUGACCCCAGCAAUUAAAACCGCCAGAAAAUUAUUAGAAUUAAUAUUGCUUCCCAAGUUUAAGUGUGAGGUACUUUAUGUUUGUUUGUUGACUACCUAAAUAGCCCUUUAAAUAUAUAAAAAAGUUGAUAUUUCUUAUAUGUUUGACACAGUGAAAAACAGCCUGGGGUCAAAUUGCCCCCAAAGAACACCGACAUUAAACAUUGAAUGGGGUCAAAUUGACCCGAAAGGUAACAGGAGGGUUAAAUGAAACUCAUCUGUAGACCGGAGAUCUUUUCACUCUCGGUAACGUGACCCACCGAGUCGCCUCGUGUCGAAACAGGAAGUCAAAACUUACAAAAGAGAACUAACCGACUGUAAGGAAGAAACAACCCAGAUGACGCAAUCAGCGAGUAACGUCCUCCUCGAGCUCGCAGCGCUGCGACGAACGCCGCGCAGACGAUGUUCAACGUGAUGGAUUUCCGAAGAUCCUCUGCCAUCUGAUUGGCUGCUUGCUGUGCAGCUUUAAUUGUUUGCCCUGAGCGUCAGAGCGUGCAGCUUCCCGGCUGCCGGAUGCUCUGUGCACACAUCAUGAGUCGCACUGACUUCUAGGAGACCGAGCACUAAUCCAUCGGAGGAGUCUUCACUAGACUCACUAAAACAAACACGGCCAUAUAUAUAUAUACACACUCUGAAUAAUAAUAAUAAUAAUUUGCAUUAUAUAUAUACAUAUACACUCAAAAUAAUAAUAAUAAUUUGCAUUCUAUUUUUAUAUAUAUACAGUAUAUAUGCCACAGAGUGCACCGGUCUUUGAACUUCUAAAAAUAUUUUAUAUAUAUAUGUACACACACACACACACAUUUGACUGAGUGUACAACUGAUGUUCAUUAUUUUUAUUUUAAAGCAUAAAGAAAUACAUUGAUUAUUCGCUAAGUAUCAUGCUGCUAAACAAGCCUCCAAUAACUGAAGUCUCACUCUGCAUUUCCAAACAGGUCCCAUUCAUUGUUUAUUCGAAGUCAUCAUCACUUUAAUUAGGCUGAUUUGAGAGCAUGUGCCCCAUCAUGCUUUAAAUACAUACAGACGAACACAAAUGAGGCGUCUGGAGAGUCGAAGUAUGAAUAAUGCAUCGACUCAAACUUUCAGAAACACGUAAACUCUCAGAAGUCAAUAGACGUAAAUACAAACAUACUGUAGUGACACACACAGCACAUAGGGAGGGAAAUGAAGACCGAUGCUGGUGGGAAUUGACAGAUUUAAUAAAUAAAAAUGACGAAGAAGAGAAAGAUGGACAACAGAACAUUAACAACAGAAAAUUGGGAAAUAAAUAAAUAAGUCAGUUUC